UAAAUAAUUCUCUGACCUACGACCCUCUAUAUUGUCUUGUAGGUUACGUGUGAUAGAAUAGAAAUAGCUGUUGAGUAAUAAUCUCUUAAGCAGACACUAUAAAAAAGGGACGAUUAUAAAAGUUACAGAGUACCAGCGUAACGUGUUAUAUCUUCGACAGGAAAGAGGCAUCAACUUCCAUGCACAAUUAAUAUAGCAAUUAAUUACACACAAUUCCCCCCAACUUUGGGACAGGUGAUGUGAAAUAGUCCUGAGACUGAUCGCAAGAUUGUCUCUGGUAAAUGUAUACAGCUCCUCUGCAUUUAUUAUCUAUCCCUUUCUGCUUUUAACAAAUUGUUCAGCAGCUUUUUUUUAACAAUGUAAAUGAAAUAAAGGAAUCAUAUAUUCCAUUUGGCCAUGGAGAGAAACCCUUCCCAAUUAAUCGAUCUUCUGAGUAAAAUCCAAUUAUAGUUGGGUGAUGUAGGGAUCUUAAAUAAGUUCUAUGAGAGUUUGUUAGUUGUUUUCAGUACAUGUAUUUUAAGAAAUGACAAAAAUGCAGGAAUAAACCAGAGCCAAUUGGGGGGUCCAGUAGGCUUCCUGUUACCGCAGAAGCAGAUAAUAACAUGAUAUCGCAAAAUAUAGAUAAAUGUACUAGUGAAAAAUGAAUAAAAUACAACAGAAAACAAAGACUAGUACUGCACCACUUCGACUUUACAGCGAUAGGUAUUUAAAGUUGUUCCGAGCAUGCGCAGAAAUAAAUACGAAAUUAAGCAUAAAAUGAUAUUACAGAGGUGCAAUGUGCCACAUUCGUCUCGAGAUCGUUUCGAUUAUCCAUUCAUUUUUAUCCGCGUAGAUUUUUGACGGGGGACCGGACGUAACAAUUUAGACACCAAGUGUUACGUCUUCGCACAAACAUCUUAAUUGGGAGUUUUCUGUACAAAGUCCAUUUUCUGUAAAUGUUGUGAUUCACUUAUUUAAAAGUUAAAAACUGUUAAAACAAUUUCUUGUCAUGCAUGGUCACAUAAUAUAUCGAUACUAAAAGCACGGAAUUAGAUUGCUAUCUAGGUCCAUGCUAAAAGCUUCGAAAUUCUAAACUUAAAAUUUACUACCCAGUCACGGAAACGAAAAGAAAUACCUGUAAUCGCGACGACACCAGAUGUGUAUUUUUUGCUAACAGACUCGUAUAACAUUAAAAAUAAUCCAAGUAGGCCUAAAAAAUGUCCAUGUAGAUGCAGUUCUAGUUUAAAGUGAAAUAAUACACCAUUGAUUAUUCAUGCAUGGAUAUUAUUGCAUGAAUAAUCAAUAAAUGCAUGGAUAUUAUUGCAUAGAAAACGGACGUAACAAAUUAGCAUCAGGCUUGAUCAAGCUUUUUAAAUCAUCAGAUUAUCAAAAUAUUUAUUCCAAAUGUCUUUCUUUGAAAUUAUUAUAGACGUUAAAAACUGCUAAACGAUUUCAUUGUUGAGAUACUGAAAUAUCUUAAUAUGUCUGGAUCGGCAUCUUGGUCCGGGUCUGGGUCCGGCGUACAAGCAUUACAGGUGAUCUUCGAUUACCUGUCUCUCCGCUAGGCAGCGCUCUUUGAUACUUUCAGUUUGCGUAUGAAUUUCAAGUUAGUGGGGCUCAGAAAAAACGUAAACCAACCAAUCCGUUUUCACAUUUAUUCGAACAAGAACCUUGCAGACGAUCAGAAGGUGUGCACAUUCUACAUGAUUGCUAUACUGACAAGGACAUCAACCAAACUGCUGUCCCACACUGAUGUAUUAGUCAGGUCUUCAUCUUUGAGGUUAAAACGAAGUGUUUUAUCCAGCAACUUGUUGUACAAGGGAAGAGGCAUUAAACAUUUCCAUUUAUCUACUCGCAGUAUGUCAUCAGGUAACAAAAAGCACAAAAUGGACGGAGACGGACAGCAGUCUAUUACCUUGGUAACUGGAAACCAGAAAAAGUUGGAGGAAUUUAUACACAUCCUGGGAAACGAUUUUAAAUUCAAGGUAAUCAGUAAGGACAUUGACCUGCCGGAGUACCAGGGAGAGCCAGAAGAGGUAGCCAGAUUGAAGUGUCGCAUGGCAGCCGAGCACAUCCAGGGCCCAGUCCUGAUCGAGGAUACCAGUCUGUGCUUUAACGCUCUAGGGGGUAUGCCUGGCCCCUACAUUAAGUGGUUUCUAAAGAGCGUGGGACCAGAAGGUCUACACAAGAUGCUAGCAGGAUUUGAAGACAAGACCGCCGAUGCUAUGUGUAUUGUUGCCUACAGUGAUGGACAUAAGGACUCUGAGGUUCAGCUGUUUAUUGGUAAAACAGAAGGGACAAUAGUGGACCCCAGAGGUCCACGCGACUUUGGCUGGGACCCCUGUUUCCAGCCAACUGGCUUUGAACAGACCUAUGCUGAACUGCCCAAAUCUACCAAGAACACCAUAUCCCACAGAUACCGAGCGGUGGACAAAUUCAAAUCUCAUUUCAUGAGCCUCGAUGACCUAAACUCAGGAAAGAAUACAAGUUCAUGAUAUUUAUUAAAUGAAGUUGAGUAAAGUGACUUGGUAUUUGUAAUACAAUAAGUCUACCACCAGUUACCAUCGGUACUGUUGCUUUGCAUUCCCUCUGUCUGUCCGUCAGUAAUCCGUUCAUCCACAUUGUUUGUCUAAGAGAAAUCAUUAACACUAUUUCACCUGGAAUAUUGGGAUGGCUGAUGCAGAGUCUGAGAAGUAAGUCACUGUGACCUGUGCUUUGACCUUUGAUCUUAACCUUUAAAUGGUAUUUUUCACUGCUUGUACAAAGUUAUCUAGUCGGACUCCGUAUGGAAUUUUUAAUAGCAAAAUCUAUACAGAUUUUCUCUCUCCUUUUCUCUUUACAAAAUUUAAGUCGUAUUUUAAAAGAUCCUGUGGGAAAAAGUGGAAAUCUUAAAGGAAAACAGGGGUGUCAUAUUUAAAUGAACAGGGUCGGACUUUCCAUAAAUGGAAAAUCUGCUUAAGAAAUAAACACAGUUGACAUUUAGUGAAAAGUACUGUAUUCGGAAUUCAAGGCAGCAUAAGUUCUGAUUCUGUACAAUGGGAAACCGACUUACUUCUUCAGACGGAAUCCCAGUCAAUUAUUAUAGGACCUUUAGAUAUAUUCUGAUCAUAAGACAGGAAAUGCAAUUGGAAUUUCGUCCAUACCUUAAACUGAUUCAAUUAUCUAUUAAACAUUGAGCUAUUACUUUAAUCAGAAUCCAUGUUUUCCAUGGGAUAAACCCAUUCCAUAGAAAUAUUCAAGGACAUAAUGGAAAUUUUCUGCAAAAACACUACAUACAGAUGUCUUUAAUGCCCGUUGAUGAAAAAAAAGGUAAUUAACUCUGUCAAAAUUUUCGAUGUCAUAAUUCAAUAUUGGAAUAAACAAUUACAUAAAUUGACUAAAACGCAAAACUUUCAAGAAGAUUGGAUAAAAAGACCUGAAAGAUCAGAUAUCCAGACAGGAUAGAAAUGCUGACAAAAGGAUGAUUACUCUUUCAAAAAUCAAAAUUCCAAAAGUGAAAGCACCUUGGGGUCAUAACAAUAUAGCUGCCUACCAGUUUCUAGGAAGGUAAGAUGUCCAGGAAGGUGAGAUGGAAACUGGUGACAUGCUAAGUAAUACUAAUCAAUUUGACAUCCUUAAACUUCAUAUUUUGGUGCUCUAGUUUCAGAAUGUACUUAAUUUCUUAAAACUGCUCUGACUAACCUAUGUCACUUAACUGCCUGUCUGGCUAUGUCGAAGACCCGGUGGUAUUGGCAAACUAAGUGAACUUUAACUUCCUAUCGUGAUGGAACAAUGAGCUUAAAAUAUGCAUUACCGGAGUAACUACUCUGGAGAUAGAUGCUAUAUUGUUUUCUAUUUGUAGUUCUUUCUUUUCACAAGGAUGUUUUAACAGUUGAACAUUUCCAACUCCCUCUUUAAGGUAACGGGACGAUUGUAAGCACAUGUAGUGCUGGUGUUUCAAAAGAUGUCAUCAUGUACACAUUGUUAUUGUUUUUAAAGUCUAUCUGAAAAGUAGGUUACCCUACUCCUGAUUUGCAACCAUAAUUGCCCCUUAUUGUCUUAGACACAUUCAAAACUUGCUGCACCCUUUGACUCAGAAGUUAAGGUUCCUUCAAACGUCAUACUUUUAGAACUGCCAUUUUGAAUUUAAACUGUUUACCGGAUUUUUUUUGCCACAAUUAAACUUUCGCCUUUUCCCAGACCAUAGUCAGGACAGAUUUAUUACUACACCAAACAUUAGAAAACAACACAAUCAAAAUAGCAAUCAAAUUUAAACUAGGUGAAUACAAAUCUCAUCAGUGUAGGGCGACAGCUGGACUAAGCGAAUACAAAUCUCAUCAGUGUAGAGCGACAGUCGGACUAGGCGAAUACAAACCUCAUCAGUGUAGGGCGACAGUCUGACUAGGCGAAUACAAAUCUCAUCAGUGUAGGGGGACAGUCGGACUAGGCGAAUACAAACCUCAUCAGUGUAGGGCGACAGUCGGGCUAGGCGAAUACAAAUCUCAUCUGUGUAGGGCGACAGUUGGACUAGGCAAAUACAAAUCUCAUCAGUGUAGGGCAUCAGUUGGACUAGGUGAAAGUGUCCCUGUAUGUAGUAUGCUAUUGGGCACAAAUAGUGUUCCAGGGACUAGGGGCGUUAAGGGUCAUUUUCGGCCUCAUCGGGGAUUUGAAUUAGUUGCUAUAUUCGCGAAUUCGUAAUCUGGAAUAAAUGAAGUACGCAAAUAUGAAAUUUCAAAUUUAUUCGACAACUGGUUUAGGAGAUAUGGCAUUACAAACAGAGACAUGUGAUAAACCGGCGUUUUCAUAAUAAAAUGUGUGAAUAUCGUCUGUU